UCCCGGCUAGCUCAGUCGGUAGAGCGUCGGACUCUUAAUCUGAAUGUCGUGGGUUCGAGCCCCACGUUGGGAG
rnacentral:tRNA from 1 species